rnacentral:lncRNA from 1 species
CUAUCUGUAAAGUGAAGACAAUAGUGGUAAUGAUCUCGUAGGACUGUUGGGGGCAUGAAACGCAAUAAUACUUAUGGGGAGAUUUGCAUCAUGCCUGGAACGCAAAUUAGCGAUGAGUAACUAUUAGGUCCCAUUCCAGGGAGGCGGUCUAGUGGUUAAGGAUGCAGGCUCAGAGCCUGCCUGCCUGAGCCCUGAGAGGUUAAGUGACCUGCCAGGACACACAGCUGGGGAGCAGCACAGUCAUGGUGAGAAAAAAGGCCCUGAGAAGGAAAAUGACUCAACUCAAGGACACCCAGCCAGUUGGUGAAGAAGUUGACACCAUGUUCUACAGGAAUAAAACUGACUCCGUGGAACUGUUGUGAAGGACCCCCGGGAGGCGGUGCGAGCUGGCGACCCUGCAGCCAAGGACUCCAGCAGCCUUCCUGGUGCCUGCUGCUCCCUGUUAUUUUCAUUUGCCUAUAAUUCGAGGGGACAGCUGCUCUCUGGAGGCUUCUUACUGCUAAUGUUCCAGAGAAACACCAGCAAUAAAGAGCACAAUGUUGCAAUCUGUUUUUGCAAUUCUUGCUUGGAUUUGAUCGGACAUCGUUAAUGACAAAUGACAACGGGCCUGUUGUUUUGUUACUUGUUGAGGCCAAAUAACACACGAUUUGUGCAUCAGCACUGAUCCAUACAUGGCCCGUUGAGCUGCGGGACCAUAGAAGACAUGUUCCAUCCAUCUUCCAAGGCUGGGGAGAGAAUGGGAGCAAGGCAUGCAAAGGGUCCCAUGGUAAGAGGAAUUCCUGGGAAUGUGAACCACAGCAGAUAAUGCAUCAAAAUGUCAUGACACAUCACAGCCAAAGGUUAAGAACAGAG